rnacentral:lncRNA from 1 species
AAAAAUUGAAGAAAGCUCAAACUUUACUUCUGAUUCAUACAAUGCUCUUACAUUACAUUACAAUAAGUUCAGGAAACAGACUACCCUAGUGACAUAUCAAGAUAACUGCAAAAUUCAAGACAAGUCAUUUACUAAACUAUUGCUCUGGUUUCUCUGGAUCCUCCUUAUCAGGAUCUUCUUCCUCUCCCUCUCUUUUUUCUUCCUCUUCUUCAUCCUCUUCUGGAGGAUCUGCAGGCAUUGG